AUUGAACGCUGGCGGCAGGCCUAACACAUGCAAGUAGAACGAGUGGCGGACGGGUGUGUAAUGUCUGGGAAACUGCCCGAUGGAGGGGGAUAACUACUGGAAACGGUAGCUAAUACCGCAUACCAUCAGAUUUGCCCAGAUGGGAUUGGUUAGUUGGUGGGGUAACGGCUCACCAAGGCGACGAUCCCUAGCUGUUCUGAGAGGAUGACGAGCCACACGGGAGCUGAGCCCCGGUCCAGACUCCUACGGGAGGAAGCAGUGGGGAAUAUUGCACAAUGGGCGCAAGCCUGAUGCAGUCAUGCCGCGUGUAUGAAGAAGGCCUUCGGGUUGUAAAGUACUUUCAGCGGGGAGGCGGUACCCGCAGAAGAAGCACCGGCUAACUCCGUGCCAGCAGCCGCGGUAAUUC
rnacentral:rRNA from 1 species